AGAUUUCCGUUGUAGCAAUACGAUGGAAAGUCUAGUGGCGAACGGGUGCUUAACACGUGGGCAACCUGNCAAGAAGUGGGAGAUAGCUCCCCGAAAGGCGAAUUAAUACCGCAUUGUGAUUAGAGAGGACAUCCUUUCGAAAUUAAAGUCGGGGCAACCUGACGUUUCUUGUGGGGCCCGCGGCCUAUCAGCUAGUUGGUGAGGUAACGGCUCACCAAGGCUUUGACGGGUAGCUGGUCUGAGAGGACGACCAACCACACCGGGGACUGAGAUACGGCCCAGACUCCUACGGGAGGCAGCAGUAGGGAAUUUUCCACAAUGGGCGAAAGCCUGAUGGAGCAACGCCGCGUGCAGGAUGAAGGCCUUCGGGUUGUAAACUGCUUUUCUUGAGGAUGAUUAUGACAGUACUCAAGGAAUAAGGGUCGGCUAACUCCGUGCCAGCAGCCGCGGUCAUACGGAGAACCCAAGCGUUACCCGGAAUUACUGGGCGUAAAGAGUUGCGUAGGUGGUUUGUCAAGUUUUUGCUUAAAGUGCAAGGCUCAACCUUGUUUCAGGCAAAAAAACUGACAUAACUAGAGGAUGGUAGAGGCGAGUGGAAUUUCUGGUGUAGGAGUGAAAUCCGUAGAUAUCAGAAGGAACACCAAUGGCGUAAGCAGCUCGCUGGGCCAUUCCUGACACUGAGGCACGAAAGCGUGGGGAGCGAACCGGAUUAGAUACCCGGGUAGUCCACGCCGUAAACGAUGGAUGCUAGCUGUCAGACGUAUCGACCCGUUUGGUAGCGAAGCUAACGCGUUAAGCAUCCCGCCUGGGGAGUACGGUCGCAAGACUAAAACUCAAAGGAAUUGACGGGGACCCGCACAAGCGAUGGAGCGUGUGGUUUAAUUCGAGGCUACGCGAAGAACCUUACCAAGGCUUGACAUCCCAGUCGCAUGUCUAGGAAACUAGACAGUCAUUUAGUUGGACUGGUGACAGGUGAUGCAUGGCCGUUGUCAGCUCGUGUCGUGAGAUGUUAGGUUAAGUCCUUCAACGAGCGCAACCCUUAUUACUAGUUAAAUAUUCUAGCAAGACGGCCUCGGCAACGAGGAGGAAGGAGGGGAUGACUUCAGGUCCGUAUUUCCCUUAUGUCUUGGGCUACACACACGCUACAAUGGUCGGUACAAUGAGUUUGCCAAGUCGCGAGACGGAGCUAAUCUCAUCAAAACCGAUCUCAGUUCGGAUUGCAGGCUGAAACUCGCCUGCAUGAAGUUGGAAUCGCUAGCAACCGUAGGUCAGCCAUACUACGGUGAAUACAUUCCCGGGUCUUGUACACA
rnacentral:rRNA from 1 species